rnacentral:rRNA from 1 species
ACGGAAGGCAGCAGUGGGGAAUAUUGCACAAUGGGGGAAACCCUGAUGCAGCGACGCCGCGUGAGUGAAGAAGGAUUUCGGUAUGUAAAGCUCUAUCAGCAGGAAAGAAAAUGACGGUACCUGACUAAGAAGCCCCGGCUAACUACGUGCCAGCAGCCGCGGUAAUACGUAGGGGGCAAGCGUUAUCCGGAUUUACUGGGUGUAAAGGGAGCGUAGACGGCUUUGCAAGUCUGAAGUGAAAGCCCGGGGCUCAACCCCGGAACUGCUUUGGAAACUGUUAAGCUAGAGUGCAGGAGAGGUAAGUGGAAUUCCUAGUGUAGCGGUGAAAUGCGUAGAUAUUAGGAGGAACACCAGUGGCGAAGGCGGCUUACUGGACUGUAACUGACGUUGAGGCUCGAAGGCGUGGGGAGCAAACAGGAUUAGAUACCCUGGUA